AUUGAACGCUGGCGGCAGGCUUAACACAUGCAAGUCGAGCGGGGUGAUGGUGCUUGCACUAUCACUUAGCGGCGGACGGGUGAGUAAUGCUUAGGAAUCUGCCUAUUAGUGGGGGACAACAUCUCGAAAGGGAUGCUAAUACCGCAUACGUCCUACGGGUGAAAGCAGGGGAUCACUUGUGACCUUGCGCUAAGAGAUGAGCGUAAGUCGGAUUAGCUAGUUGGUGGGGUAAAGGCCUACCAAGGCGACGAUCUGUAGCGGGUCUGAGAGGAUGAUCCGCCACACUGGGACUGAGACACGGCCCAGACUCCUACGGGAGGCAGCAGUGGGGAAUAUUGGACAAUGGGGGGAACCCUGAUCCAGCCAUGCCGCGUGUGUGAAGAAGGCCUUAUGGUUGUAAAGCACUUUAAGCGAGGAGGAGGCUCUUUUGGUUAAUACCCAAGAUGAGUGGACGUUACUCGCAGAAUAAGCACCGGCUAACUCUGUGCCAGCCGCCGCGGUAC
rnacentral:rRNA from 1 species